GUGCCCGCUUCGGCAGCACAUGUACUAAACCUGGACCAAUACUGAGAAGAUUAGCAUGGCCUGUCCACAAACAUGACAUGCAAAUUUGUAAGUGUUCCAUAUCAAA
rnacentral:snRNA from 1 species